CCUACGGGUGGCAGCAGUGAGGAAUAUUGGUCAAUGGACGAAAGUCUGAACCAGCCAUGCCGCGUGCAGGAAGACGGCUCUAUGAGUUGUAAACUGCUUUUGUACAAGGGUAAACCUCAAUACGUGUAUUCCACUGCACGUCCUGUACGAAUCAGGAUCGGCUAACUCCGUGCCAGCAGCCGCGGUAAUACGGAGGGUCCAAGCGUUAUCCGGAUUUAUUGGGUUUAACGGGUGCGUAGGCGGAUUUAUAAGUUAGAGGUGAAAUUUCCGGGCUCAACUCGGGAACUGCCUCUAAUACUGUUGAGCUAGAGAGUAGAUGAGGUAGGCGGAAUGUACGGUGUAGCGGUGAAAUGCGUAGAGAUCAGACAGAACACCGAUUGCGAAGGCAGCUUACCAAGCUAUAUCUGACGUUGAGGCACGAAAGCGUGGGGAGCAAACAGGAUUAGAUACCCCAGUAGUC
rnacentral:rRNA from 1 species